rnacentral:rRNA from 1 species
UCCUACGGGAGGCAGCAGUGGGGAAUAUUGGACAAUGGGCGAAAGCCUGAUCCAGCCAUGCCGCGUGUGUGAAGAAGGCCUUUUGGUUGUAAAGCACUUUAAGCGAGGAGGAGGCUACUUGGAUUAAUACUCUAGGAUAGUGGACGUUACUCGCAGAAUAAGCACCGGCUAACUCUGUGCCAGCACCCGCGGUAAUA